GAUUAACGCUGGCGGCGUGCAUAACACAUGCAAGUCGAACGAUGAAACUUAAAUGAUUUCUUCGGAAUGAACUUAAGUGGCUUAGUGGCGGACGGGUGAGUAACGCGUGAGUAACCUGCCUUACACAAGGGGAUAGCCGUUGGAAACGACGAAUAAUACCCUAUGAUGUUUCUAUCUCGCAUGAGAUAUUAACCAAAGUGUUAGCGGUGUAAGAUGGACUUGCGUCUGAUUAGCUAGUUGGUGAGAAAAAAGCCCACCAAGGCAACGAUCAGUAGCCGGCUUGAGAGAGUGUACGGCCACAUUGGGACUGAGACAAGGCCCAGACUCCUACGGGAGGCAGCAGUGGGGAAUUUUGCACAAUGGGGGAAACCCUGAUGCAGCGACGCCGCGUGAUUUAGAAGGCCUUCGGGUUGUAAAAAUCUUUUGUAUAGGAAGAAAAUGACAGUACUAUACGAAUAAGGUCCGGCUAAUUACGUG
rnacentral:rRNA from 1 species